GAUGAACGCUGGCGGCGUGCCUAAUACAUGCAAGUCGAGCGAAGCGGGGACGGGUGAGUAACACGUGGAUAACCUCCUAUAAGACUGGGAUAACUUCGGGAAACCGGAGCUAAACCGGAUACUUAUAUCUGGAUCCGCGUGUCAUUAGCUAGUUUGUAAGGUAACGGCUUACCAAGGCAACGAUGCAUAGCCGACCUGAGAGGGUGACCGUCCACACUGUAACUGAGACACGUUCCAGACUCCUACGGGAGGCAGCAGUAGGGAAUCUUCCGCAAUGUGCGAAAGCCUGACGGAGCAACGCCGCGUGAGUGAUGAAGGUCUGCGGAUCGUAAAACUCUGUUAUUAGGGAAGCGGUACCUAAUCAGAAAGCCACGGCUAACUACGUGCCAGCAGCCGCGGUAAUUC
rnacentral:rRNA from 1 species